UCCUGACGAUGGGCAUCCCCGUUCAUCGACACUAACCCAGACAGGAGUUUAUCAUG
rnacentral:ncRNA from 1 species